rnacentral:rRNA from 1 species
AGAGUUUGAUCCUGGCUCAGGACGAACGCUGACGGCGUGCUUUAGACAUGCAAGUCGAACGAGAACACCCUUCGGGGCUAGUAAAGUGGCGAACGGGUGAGUAACACGUGGGCAACCUGCCCCUCGCAGGGGGACAACCGGAGGAAACUCCGGCUAAUACCCCGUAAGCUCUCAGAGUCGAGUGACUCUGGGAGGAAAGGUAGCUUCGGCCAUCCGGCGAGGGAUGGGCCCGCGGUACAUUAGCUAGUUGGUGGGGUAACGGCCCACCAAGGCGACGAUGUAUAGCUGGUCUGAGAGGAUGAUCAGCCACACUGGGACUGAGACACGGCCCAGACUCCUACGGGAGGCAGCAGUCGGGAAUCUUGCGCAAUGGGCGAAAGCCUGACGCAGCAACGCCGUGUGGGUGAGGAAGGCCUUAGGGUCGUAAAGCUCUGUUGUUGGGGACGAAGGGCGAAGGGUUAAUAGCCCCUAGCUUGACGAUACCCUUCGAGGAAGCCCCGGCUAACUACGUGCCAGCAGCCGCGGUAAUACGUAGGGGGCGAGCGUUGUGCGGAAUUAUUGGGCGUAUAGAGCGUGUAGGCGGUUUGGUAAGUCCGCCGUGAAAAUCCAGGGCUCANGGCUGGGCGUGCGGUGGAAACUGCCAUGGCUAGACGAUGGUAGAGGCGAGUGGAAUCCCUGNGUANCGGUGAAAUGCGCCAAUAUCGGGAAGAGCUCAUUACCUAAGGCGGCUCGCUGGGCCGUUCCNGACCCUGAUACCCCAAAGCAUUGGGAGCCACCUGG